GACAGAGGUGCCAAGCGUUAGGCGGAAUCACUGGGCUUAAAGCGUGUGUAGGCGGAUCGUUAAGUGUCUUGUGAAAUCCCACGGCUCACCCGUGGAACUGCUGGGCAUACUGGCGAUCUUGGGCCAACUAGGGGCAGCCGGAACAAGCGGUGGAGCGGUGAAAUGCGUAGAUAUCGCUUGGAACGCCGAAGGUGAAAACAGGCUGCUGGGGUUGCGCCGACGCUGAGACACGAAAGCCAGGGGAGCAAACGGG
rnacentral:rRNA from 1 species